AACAGAAAGGGAGGAUUAAAAGAGUGCUCGACUUAAAAGGAAAUCCAGAGCAAAAUUGAAUAUGGGCUGACCCAAAAUGUCCGCGAGGCCACACACCACUGGUGCUAUGCAGUACUGUCUUCUGGUUCUACAAAACGGACAUCUAGAUCCAUAACUAGAAGCGUCUCCCCACUGAAAAAAGGCAAAGGAAAGAGCCCAAGCCCCUAGAAGUCAGCUUCUAGAGGAGAUUCAAAAGAUGGUCUCCGAUGCCUGCGAUCGCCCCCUCGUGAAUCACUGGCAGCAAAUUCAGAGGCCGCAAGGGAAAUGGCACAGCAAGAAGUAAAGGAGCUUUUCAAAUGCUCCAUAUGCUUUUCAACAAGCUCCCUGCCAGCUGCAAGUUGUCCCAGAUGCCACAAGCUCAUCGAAUGUGUGCCUGGCACGGAACUGGCACGGAACAGAAAAAAGGCGGGAAUAAGUACACCGCAAAGGUGAUGGUUAUAGUCCAGUAGCCCGCCUGUGAUUGGAGGAAAUGAACAGAAGCUUGAAAUAAAUAAACCUUGUUCGUUGAACAAGUUGAAUUAGUCAUUAAGUCAGAAAUUGAC